rnacentral:rRNA from 1 species
GAUGAACGCUGGCGGCGUGCCUAAUACAUGCAAGUCGAGCGAACAGACGAGGAGCUUGCUCCUCUGACGUUAGCGGCGGACGGGUGAGUAACACGUGGAUAACCUACCUAUAAGACUGGGAUAACUUCGGGAAACCGGAGCUAAUACCGGAUAAUAUAUUGAACCGCAUGGUUCAAUAGUGAAAGACGGUUUUGCUGUCACUUAUAGAUGGAUCCGCGCCGCAUUGCUAGUUGGUAAGGUAACGGCUUACCAAGGCAACGAUGCGUAGCCGACCUGAGAGGGUGAUCGGCCACACUGGAACUGAGACACGGUCCAGACUCCUACGGGAGGCAGCAGCAGGGAAUCUUCCGCAAUGGGCGAAAGCCUGACGGAGCAACGCCGCGUGAGUGAUGAAGGUCUUCGGAUCGUAAAACUCUGUUAUUAGGGAAGAACAAAUGUGUAAGUAACUAUGCACGUCUUGACGGUACCUAAUCAGAAAGCCACGGCUAACUACGUG